UGGAGGACUAUAUAAAAAUGUGAGCCAAGAGUGAAUACUACAAGUAGACACGAGUCACGAGGCCAGCCUUUUGUGGCUCUAGCUAUGGGUCCCAAAUUUGCCCCCAUUCAAUUCAAUGAGAUUUCAGUGAUUCUUCUUCGGUGAGCAAUUCAGCCCUUGUAUAUUAAUUUAUGCAACCCGCAAUCGUUUUUGCUUCAAUGGCCCUUCCGUUUCUAGCAAUCAAUCAUCAGACAAAUCAUUGAUUCAGAUCCGAAAUUGGAAUCAAAAGCAACAUCCAGAACUGAAUCUGGAUGGUGAUUUGUUAGUGAACAGAGAUGGUGUUAGAAUUGUUUCUCAAAGCCGCCAAUCUGAUACUGUGAGUUGUUUUUGUUUUCUGUUAUGAAUCUGGGUUGAUGGAUGAUUUCACCUUUUAGGGUUAAUUCUGUGUUUGAUCCAUUGUCUUAGAAAUUUGUUUCUUGAUAGGGGUAGUUUGGGGUUUAAGCGAAGCUAAAUUCUGUCCUGUGAAAAGUUUUCCUCACAGAAUAAAGAGUUUGGCUGGCUCAUUAUAUGUUGUAUGCUUUUUUUUUUUUUUAUGUAUACACUAAACGCUCUGUUACUUAAAAGGGUAGCAGACUAGAGUAAAAGUAAUGAACAAAUCUUAAAAUAAGAUCGUUGGUGGCGACUGUUGCGGUUGGACUCGGCAUACCGAUUUUCUACGGAACGCAGAUUAAUAGUGUUGUAUGUUGUUGUUGUUUUAACUUUCUUCUUCUUCUUCUUCUUCUUCUUCAGUUUUCCCUAAUUGUGCCUGCUUUGAUUACUUAAUGAAAAUGUACCAUAACUAUUGUAGUGGGUGAGAAGCCUAAAUAUUAUUAUUAGAAUUACAAAACUAUGUAUGGGUGUGUGUUGAAACUGUAUAAAACUUCAUCGUCUUCUUCGUUCAAGCAGCCCGUACCUCAAUCGUCCACAUCUGCAUCAUCGACAUUUUACGGAGGCUCCGAAAACAGUUACGGUUCCAGAUCUGAUAAUUUUAACCUCACUACGUCCGAUUCAAUGUAUUCUCGAGGCGGUUACGGAACGCUUUCGCCUGUAGGUUAUCCGUCUGCUGAUGCUUGUAAGUGAUUCAUAUCAUAACAUAAAACUAACGGAAAUUGUCUAUGGACUUUGUGAGCAACCUCAUUUACUUGUAGCAAAGCAAUGGAGUUACUUAUUCAGUGGACGAUUCUCAUGAUGGAAGGAGGGGUGUCACAUCUUCUGUUGGUUGACUCAUCUAUGCGUGGCAACACCAUCUGAAUGGAGGAAAACGCUGUCAAAUCCUGAUAAAGAUGUCAUUCUGUUGGAUGUGAGAAAUGGUAUUUCCUCCUUGUUUACUGAGUCAGGGGUGAUUAGCUCAAGACAAGUUGACUCCUUUUGGUAAAAUGCAAGCUUAUGUUAACCUUGAAGAUUCUAUGGCCUUACUAGGUUAUGAGGAACCAGAACAAUUAGUUUGGAGUAUUGGCAAACAGAGUGUAGAUCUAUAAACACUAACUGUAUUUUUAUUUAUUUAUUUAUUUAUUUAUUGUUUAUUAAUAUAAAUUCUU
rnacentral:lncRNA from 1 species